GUGCCAGCAGCCGCGGUAAUACGGGGGGUGCAAGCGUUACUCGGAAUCACUGGGCGUAAAGGGAGCGUAGGCGUUCUAUUAAGUCUUGAGUGAAAGCCCGCAGCCUAACUGCGGAACUGCUCAGGAAACUGAUAGAAUUGAGUAUGGAAGAGGUCAGUGGAAUUUCCAGUGUAGGGGUAAAAUCCGUAGAUAUUGGAAGGAAUACCAGAAGCGAAGGCGACUGACUGGGACAUUACUGACGCUGAGGCUCGAAAGCGUGGGGAGCAAACAGGAUUAGAAACCCGGGUAGUCC
rnacentral:rRNA from 1 species